AACAGUGCCUUCAGACCUCCCAGGGCAGUAGGAGGUCACUCUGGCCUGGUCAACAGCCCCCGAGAGGAAUCAAGCUCAGCCCUCCUCCUCAGCCCAGACAAGAGCUCAGACCUCUCGGUGUGGCCAGGGCCCCGAUGGAGGAAGGCACGAAGGAGACGCCUGAAGCGGCUUGCACAAUCCAGGAAUGCUGCCUGGUGGAGGUGACAGCGAAGUUGUCAAAAGCGCUUUCUACCUGCGGGUGACCCUGAGGAUUUGCACAGUCUGGAACUCCGUGCACGCGGCGGGUGCACUGCCAACGUUGGGAGAAUGUCACCAGCAGAAAUCCUGGCAUGUAAAAAACAGAUGCCAUCACCCUCCCGCCUGAACCCCUUUUACAGAUGGGGCAAAAAGAGGCUGGCCUCAGAGGACCAGGCGGCCUGACCGGCGACCCUUGGCUCAAGGAAAAUCCCUGCACCCCGAAUUCUGUGCAGGUCCCCGGGAAGCAGGCCGGGGACUUCCCAGCCAGUCCUGCCGUCGGCUCAGAGCCAGUGCUGCGGAAGACGCCCAGCCCAGAAGCAGGGGCCCAGGUCGGUACCAGUCAAGGCUCCCCAGAGGAACAGAACCAGUAGGAUACAUAGAGACACAUCUAAGAGGAGUUUUAUCAUAGGAAUCCGCUCACAAGGUCACGGAGGCCGAGGAGCCCCACGAUCUGCCACCUGCGAGCUGGAGACCCAGCAAAGCUGAAGGGUGGUCGGGUGGAGUCGGAAGAUCGGAGGGCCGGGAGCGCCCGUGUCUGCGGGCGGCAGAAGGUGGAUGUCUCAGCUGAAGCGCAGAGCGCAAAUCCGCCCUUCCUCCCCCCUCAGUGGAGGUGGACUGGGGGGUGCCCCCCACAUCGGGGAGCACAGCCCUGCUUCGUUCCGUCCACCGCUUGAAGUGCUGAUCGCUUCCGGAGACACCCGCACACGCACAGCCAGAGAGUGUUCCACGAGCCAACCGGCAUCCCCGAGCGCAGCUGGGAAGACACACGAAAUUGACCAUCACGAGGCUCCGACUCUGACUCUGUCACAAAACACCAUGAGCCCCGAGGCGGUCAGCCGCCGGUUCCAAAGCCCUCACGUGUGCCCAGCCCUUCCUCUGCUGGGGGUGGGGACCCAGCAGUGAAAAUAAACGACCCUUCCCCCUUCAAGGACCCCGCAGUCCAGUAGAACGUGCGGGUUAGUCCUUCCCUCUGGGAACACUGCAUCAGGGUCAGCCGGGUUGCGGCACAGGGCUCGCACCUGUCACCCUCCCCCGCCAUGGCGGCAGAUGACAUCACCAGUCCACUGGGGGCCCCCUUCCCUCAGCCAGAGGGCCCCUUCCCCUCCCUCCAGGGGGCCCUGCAGGCAGCUGUGGUCACAUCUGCCAAACCUACGUGCCGUCCUGACGACUUGGAAGGUCUGCCCAAGAUCCCAUUACUUUGGGGUAGAGUUAAAGUCCCACCCAGCUGACCGCUUUGUCACUUUGCCCUCACUCUCUGGGCCUUUCCUCCAUGUGCUCACUACAUGCUAUUAUCACCUCGGAUUGUAAUUGUUAGGUCAGCCAGCAGCCGCCUGGUUUCCUCCAUCGACAGCAAGCUCACUGCCUCUGGUGAUGAAGUUCUUUAUGUUGGUCCCAAAUCCCUCCCAGGCCCUGGUUCAUGACUCACGCUUGACUUGAAAGGCACAAUGUCAACCGAUAACUAACAGCUGUUUUCUGUGGACUGAAACCCCACUCCCCUGGGUCCGAAACCCACCCGGCCCCCAGCAUGGCUCAGCGCAUGACUGAAUGAAUUAACCACAGCAACUGUGUAAAGCCUUGGCGGGUUCUCUUUUCCCUGUUUCAACAGAGAAACUGAGUCCCGGAGAGUCAAGAGUCUGCAGACCAUGGCAGAGGGGAUGUUGGAAGCCAUGCUCCCUUCUACCGAGACCCUUGCUCCUUCUGAGAGCACAUUCCGCAGAGGCAGAAACAAACACCCACCCCUCCAAGCCCGUCGGCCCCACGUGCACACAGGCUUUUCCUUCCAGAACCUUCUCUGUCUGCUUCCUCCCUUCCCACCAUCUGGGAUGGAAGCCUGCACUUGAACUGCCCGUUCCCAUAGUUGUUCCCCAAAGACAGUGGCCUGACUUUGUGUUGACACUCACAGCACAUGAUAAAGGAUAAAAGAUUUGGAGCCACCCUUGAGGGCCAGCAGGGGGAAGGACUCUGUGAGAACAGCCAUCUGGAGAGAGAUAAGGGGAAGGCACAGCAAGAAGAGACAAUGCCAGGAGCUCCUUAAAGAAGAAAGACAGCAUUUCCCUGCAGGUGCUUAGCAGCAGCUGUUGAAGCUGUUAUUCCGGGCAGGGCCAGAAUAUCUACAAUCAAAAUGUCAGGCUCGGGGAUUCCAAUCCUGGUCUGAUUGACACACUGCAGGAUCCCAAGAGCAGCGUCCGCAGAAGGGCAGUGAGCAGUGAGGACGUGAGUAAAUGCUGGUAGUGGUGGUGGUGGCAGUGGUUGCUCUACGCUGCACCGAAGCAGAGUGGCACAGAAGCUGGCUCCUGGAAUCGGUGUAGGAUUCUGUACUCUCCACCAGGCUUUCCCUGAGUGUGUCCCCCGUGCAGCCUUGGGCACAGAAAGGAGUAGAGAUCCGAGCCUGACUUGAUGGGAUUUAGAUGCUGGAAUGGUUAAGACUUUGGGGGAUAUAGGGAUAGUGUGAAUGUACUUUGCAUAUAAGAAGGACAUGAAUUUGGGGGGCCAGAGGGCAGAUUGUUAUGGGUUAAGUGGUAUCCCAUUGAAAGAUACAUUGAAGUCCUAAGCCCCAGUGCCUGUCAAAGCGACCUUUUUGGGAAUGGAGUCCUUGCAGAUGUUAAUUAGUUAAGAUGAGGUCAUACUGGAGUCGAGUGGGCUCUAAUCCAAUAUGACUGGUGUCCUUAAAAGAAGAGGAAA